UACAGAGACUGCAAGCGUUAUUCGGAUUCACUGGGCGUAAAGGGUGCGCAGGCGGCCGUGUGUGUGAGGCGUGAAAGCCCGGGGCUUAACCCCGGAAUUGCACCUCAAACUACAUGGCUAGAGCAUUGGAGAGGGUAGCAGAAUUCAUGGUGUAGCAGUGAAAUGCGUAGAUAUCAUGAGGAAUACCAGAGGCGAAGGCGGCUACCUGGACAAUUGCUGACGCUCAGGCACGAAAGCGUGGGGGAGCAAAAAGGG
rnacentral:rRNA from 1 species